UGCAAAGUAGCAUAGUGGUAACGCGUCUGCCUCGUACACAGAAGACCAGGGUUCGACCCCCUUUGUGG
rnacentral:tRNA from 1 species